rnacentral:rRNA from 1 species
CGAACGAGACCUUCGGGUCUAGUGGCGCACGGGUGCGUAACGCGUGGGAACCUGCCUUUAGGUUCGGAAUAACUCCCCGAAAGGGGUGCUAAUACCGGAUAAUGUCUUCGGACCAAAGAUUUAUCGCCUUUAGAUGGGCCCGCGUUGGAUUAGCUAGUUGGUGGGGUAAAGGCCUACCAAGGCGACGAUCCAUAGCUGGUCUGAGAGGAUGAUCAGCCACACUGGGACUGAGACACGGCCCAGACUCCUACGGGAGGCAGCAGUGGGGAAUAUUGGACAAUGGGCGAAAGCCUGAUCCAGCAAUGCCGCGUGAGUGAUGAAGGCCUUAGGGUUGUAAAGCUCUUUUACCAGGGAUGAUAAUGACAGUACCGGAGAUAAAG